UAAGAUUUAAUAUGGAAUAUUCUAAUUAAAAUAAUAUAAUAUUUAGUAUAUAUUUAGAAAAAUUUAUUUUUUUUUGUACUGUGAAGGAAAUUUUAAUUUUUAUUAAAGAAAUAAUUAAUUUAUGUACCUUGUGUAUUAGGGGUGUUUAAAAUAAUGAAUAUGUUAAUUUUUCCCGAUAUGUUUGUGGGCUAAAAUCAUAAUUUAUUAAUAUUGCAAAAUUAAUAAUAAUUUUAUUUUAGGGAUGAUAUAUUAUUCAAACAACAAGAUUUCUGGUUUUCUAAUAAUUAGUUUAAUUGGUGUUAAUUUUUUUUUUAAUUUUAAUAUUAAUUUAUUAAGGGACAAGCUUUAAUAAAAUUUUCAUACUUAAUAAAUAUUUUAGUUAUUUAGAUUUAAAAUUGAUUUAAUUUUUACAAUGUUAUAAUGAAACUAUUAGCAAAUUAAUAUUUUAUUAACUAGUUGAAUUAUAUAAUAGAACAUUUUAUAAAUUAAUAUAUAAAAGAAAUAAUGAAUAUAUUAGUAAUUGUUUGUUUAGUAAAGGUUAGCUAUAUUGUUGUUUAAAUUUAAGGAAUUAGGCAAGAGGUAAUUUUCGCCUGUUUAGCAAAAACAUGGUUUUUUGAGUUUUAAAUAAAAAAUCAGGCCUGCUCACUGAAAAAUUUAAAGAGCUGCAGUAUUUUAACUGUACGGAGGUAGCAUAAUCAUUUGUCUUUUGAAUGGGGACUGGUAUGAAAGGUUUAACGGAAAUUAACUGUCUCAAAUUUAAUAGAUGAAUUUUAUAUUUAAGGAAAAGAGCUUAAAUAAAAUAAAGGGACGAGAAGACCCUAUUAAAUUUUAUUAUUAGUAAGUAUGAUUUUUUUAUAAAAAUUGUAUUUAUUAAAUAAUUUUGCUGGGGCGGCAGGUAUUUUAACAUUAUUAUUUUUUAAUAUAUUAUUUAACAAUAUUUUUGAUCCAAUCAGAUUGAUAAUAAGAUUAAAUUACUAUAGGGAUAACAGCGUAAUAUUUUUUGAGAGUUCAUAUUGACAAAAAUGUUUGCGACCUCGAUGUUGGAUUAAGAAGUCUUAUUGGCGCAGUCGUUGAUGAAGAAGGUCUGUUCGACCUUUAAAUUCUUACAUGAUCUGAGUUCAGACCGGUGUAAGCCAGGUCGGUUUCUAUCUUUUAUUUUUAAUUAGUUAAAUUAGUACGAAAGGACCAUUUAAUAUAAAAUUUUUAUUUAAUUAUUGAUAUAUGUAAAAUUUUAUGAAGGUGGUUAUAUUGGCAGAUUAGUGCAUCGAGUUUAGAAUUC
rnacentral:rRNA from 1 species